rnacentral:rRNA from 1 species
CCUACGGGUGGCAGCAGUGAGGAAUAUUGGUCAAUGGACGAGAGUCUGAACCAGCCAAGUAGCGUGAAGGAUGACUGCCCUAUGGGUUGUAAACUUCUUUUAUAUGGGAAUAAAACGUUCCACGUGUGGGAUUUUGUAUGUACCAUAUGAAUAAGGAUCGGCUAACUCCGUGCCAGCAGCCGCGGUAAUACGGAGGAUCCGAGCGUUAUCCGGAUUUAUUGGGUUUAAAGGGAGCGUAGGUGGAUUGUUAAGUCAGUUGUGAAAGUUUGCGGCUCAACCGUAAAAUUGCAGUUGAAACUGGCAGUCUUGAGUACAGUAGAGGUGAGCGGAAUUCGAGGUGUAGCGGUGAAAUGCUUAGAUAUCACGAAGAACUCCGAUUGCGAAGGCAGUUCACUGGACUGCAACUGACACUGAGGCUCGAAAGUGUGGGUAUCAAACAGGAUUAGAUACCCCAGUAGUC